UGGCUCAGAGCGAACGCUGGCGGCAGGCUUAACACAUGCAAGUCGAACGGGCGUAGCAAUACGUCAGUGGCAGACGGGUGAGUAACACGUGGGAACGUACCCUUUGGUUCGGAACAACACAGGGAAACUUGUGCUAAUACCGGAUAAGCCCUUACGGGGAAAGAUUUAUCGCCGAAGGAUCGGCCCGCGUCUGAUUAGCUUGUGGUGAGGUAAUGGCUCACCAAGGCGACGAUCAGUAGCUGGUCUGAGAGGAUGAUCAGCCACACUGGGACUGAGACACGGCCCAGACUCCUACGGGAGGCAGCAGUGGGGAAUAUUGGACAAUGGGCGCAAGCCUGAUCCAGCCAUGCCGCGUGAGUGAUGAAGGCCCUAGGGUUGUAAAGCUCUUUUGGCGGGGAAGAUAAUGACGGUACCCGCAGAAUAAGCCCCGGCUAACUUCGUG
rnacentral:rRNA from 1 species